ACAAAACUUAGCCGGGUGUGUGGUGGUGGGUGCCUGGUAGUCCCAGCCACCGGAGGCUGAGAUAGGAGAAUUGCUUGGACCUGGGGAGGCAGUGGUUGUAGUGAGCCGAGAUCAGCCCAUUGCACUCCAGCCUGGCUGGCUGUGAGCCAGACUCUGGUUUCCAAAAAAAAAAAAAAAAAAAAAAAAAAAUUACCUGUACAACUGUGAUAAAAAUAAAAAUAAAAAUUAGUUUAAAAAUUAUAUUGGCCAGGUGAGGUGGCUCACACCUGUAAUCUCAGCUCUUGUGGAGGCCAAGGUGGGCGAACUGCUUGAGCUCAGGAGUUUGCAACCAGCCUGGGAAAUAUGGCAAAACCCUGUCUCUACAAAAACUACAAAAAUCAGCUGGGUGUGGUUGGGAGGCCAAGGUGGGAGGAUCACUUGUAGUCUGAGCUUGGAGUCUGAGAUCAGCCUGGACAAUGUAGUGAGACCUCAUCUCUACAGAAAAUUUUAAAAAUUAGCCAGGUACAGUGGUUCAUGACUGUCGUCCUAGCCACUCGGGAGGCUGAGAUGGGAGGAUCACUCCAGUCUGGGAGGUGGAGUUUGCAGUGAGACAAGGUGGUGCCUACUACAUUCCAGCCUGGGCAACAGAGCAAGACCCUAUCUCAAAAAAAAAUAGAUGAUAAAAGUAUGUCUUUCACAAGCUGUCUCCUCUGUUGCCACCGCCAAGGAUAUGCACUUGCCAAAUAACAGUAAUCCCAUCCUCCUGGGAUCGAGUUCAAGGUGAUUAAAUGUGCAUUUUCCCAGAUGUAUCUGGGGACACCAGUCCCAUGAAGUAAGAUGUUAUGGGCUGCAAUUUGUCCCCAUCUCCAAAUUUAUAGAUUGAAGCCUUAACCCUUAAUGCGACUGUAUUUAGAGAUAGGACCUUUGAGGAGGUAAUUAAGGUUAAAUGAGGUUAUAAGGGUGAGACCUUAAUUCAGUAGGACUGGUGUCCUCAUAAGAAGAGACAUCAGGAGUGCACGUGCUCAGAAAAAAAGGCCGUAUGUGAGGCCACAGAGAGAAGGAAGCCAUCUGCAAGCCAGGAGGAGAGGCCUCACCAGAACCAACCCUGCUGGCACCAGGAUCUUGGACUUCCAGCUUCCAGAACUGUGAGAAUAUAAAUUUGUGUUGUUUAAGCCACCCAGUCUGUGGGUUUUGUUAUGGUAGCCCAAGCUGAAUAAUACAUAAGGGUUCCUGGGUUAAAUAAGUCUGGGAAACACUGCGUGCAAUACUGGCCUUCCCCCACUCCCCUGGAGAUUCACAAAGCUCUUUAGCCUCUUAAAGAUUCAGAGAAGUUCCUCAGCAAAUAAAUUUCUAG
rnacentral:lncRNA from 1 species